UACGUAGGGGGCAAGCGUUGUCCGGAAUUAUUGGGCGUAAAGGGCUCGUAGGCGGUUUCUUAAGUCUGAUGUGAAAGCCCACAGCUCAACUGUGGAGGGUCAUUGGAAACUGGGGAACUUGAGUGCAGAAGAGGAGAGUGGAAUUCCACGUGUAGCGGUGAAAUGCGUAGAUAUAUGGAGGAACACCGGUGGCGAAAGCGGCUCUCUGGACUGUAACUGACACUGAGAUGCGAAAGCGUGGGGAGCGAACGGG
rnacentral:rRNA from 1 species